rnacentral:rRNA from 1 species
AGAGUUUGAUCAUGGCUCAGAGUGAACGCUGGCGGCAGGCCUAACACAUGCAAGUCGAGCGGCAGCACGGGUAGCAAUACCUGGUGGCGAGCGGCGGACGGGUGAGGAAUACAUCGGUAUCUGCCUCGUCGUGGGGGAUAACGUAGGGAAACUUACGCUAAUACCGCAUACGACCGAGAGGUGAAAGCGGGGGAUCGAAAGACCUCGCGCGAUGAGAUGAGCCGAUGUCGGAUUAGCUAGUUGGCGGGGUAAGAGCCCACCAAGGCGACGAUCCGUAGCUGGUCUGAGAGGAUGAUCAGCCACACUGGAACUGAGACACGGUCCAGACUCCUACGGGAGGCAGCAGUGGGGAAUAUUGGACAAUGGGCGCAAGCCUGAUCCAGCCAUGCCGCGUGGGUGAAGAAGGCCUUCGGGUUGUAAAGCCCUUUUGUCCGGGACGAAAUCGUACGGGUGAAUAUUCCGUGCGGAUGACGGUACCGGAAGAAUAAGCACCGGCUAACUUCGUGCCAGCAGCCGCGGUAAUACGAAGGGUGCAAGCGUUACUCGGAAUUACUGGGCGUAAAGCGUGCGUAGGCGGUUUGUUAAGUCCGCUGUGAAAGCCCUGGGCUCAACCUGGGAAUUGCAGUGGAUACUGGCAAGCUAGAGUGCGGUAGAGGAUGGUGGAAUUCCCGGUGUAGCGGUGAAAUGCGUAGAGAUCGGGAGGAACACCCGUGGCGAAGGCGGCCAUCUGGACCAGCACUGACGCUGAGGCACGAAAGCGUGGGGAGCAAACAGGAUUAGAUACCCUAGUAGUCC